rnacentral:tRNA from 1 species
GGGGUUGUGGCUCAGUGGUAGAGCGCUCCCAUAGGAUGUGUGAGGCCCUGGGUUCAAUCUUCAGCACCACA